UUUGGCCCAGAUCGUUUACCGUGAAAAAAUUAGAGUGUUCAAAGCAGGCAGAUUCAAUUUUCUGCCACCGAAUACAUUAGCAUGGGAUAAUGGAAUAGGACCCUGUCCUCCUAUUUUCAGUUGGUUUUGGCAGCGCGAGGACUAGGGUAAUGAUUAAUAGGGAUAGUUGGGGGCAUUAAUAUUUAAUUGUCAGAGGUGAAAUUCUUGGAUUUAUGAAAGAUUAACUUCUGCGAAAGCAUCUGCCAAGGAUGUUUUCAUUAAUCAAGAACGAAAGUUAGGGGAUCGAAGACGAUCAGAUACCGUCGUAGUCUUAACCAUAAACGAUGCCAACCAGCGAUUAGGAGACGUUGAAUACAAAACACCACCAUCGGCGCGGUCGUCCUUGGCGCGUUCGUGUUCACGCACGGGCGGCGCGAGGGCGGCUUAGCCCGGUGGCACCGGUGAAUGACUCCCUAGCAGCUUGUGAGAA
rnacentral:rRNA from 2 species